rnacentral:rRNA from 1 species
UCUGUAGGCGGUGCGGCAAGUCGGGAGUGAAAUCUCGGGGCUUAACUCCGAGUCUGCUUCCGAAACUGCUGUGCUCGAGUGUGGGAGAGGUGAGUGGAAUUGCAGGUGUAGCGGUGAAAUGCGUAGAUAUCUGCAGGAACACCAGAGGCGAAGGCGGCUCACUGGACCACAACUGACGCUGAGAGACGAAAGCUAGGGGAGCAAACAGGAUUAGAUACCCUGGUAGUCCUAGCCCUAAACCAUCAGGACUUGGCGUGGGUCCCGUUCGGGGCCCGUGUCGGAGCUAACGUGUGAAGUCCUGCGCCUGGGGAGUACGGUCGCAAGGCUGAA